GGCUGGAUAGCUCAGUCAAGAGAGCAGGAGACUUUUCAUCUUGUGGGUUGUGGGUUCGAGUCCCACUUUGGACA